rnacentral:rRNA from 1 species
GAUCAUGGCUCAGAUUGAACGCUGGCGGCAUGCUUUACACAUGCAAGUCGAACGGCAGCACGGGGGCAACCCUGGUGGCGAGUGGCGAACGGGUGAGUAAUAUAUCGGAACGUACCCGGAAAUGGGGGAUAACGUAGCGAAAGUUACGCUAAUACCGCAUAUGCCCUAAGGGGGAAAGCGGGGGAUUCGCAAGAACCUCGCGUUUCGGAGCGGCCGAUAUCGGAUUAGCUAGUAGGUGAGGUAAAGGCUCACCUAGGCGACGAUCCGUAGCUGGUCUGAGAGGACGACCAGCCACACUGGAACUGAGACACGGUCCAGACUCCUACGGGAGGCAGCAGUGGGGAAUUUUGGACAAUGGGCGCAAGCCUGAUCCAGCCAUGCCGCGUGAGUGAAGAAGGCCUUCGGGUUGUAAAGCUCUUUCAGCCGGAAAGAAAACGCACGGGUUAAUAACCUGUGUGGAUGACGGUACCGGAAGAAGAAGCACCGGCUAACUACGUG